rnacentral:lncRNA from 1 species
GCCACCUUUGACAGCGCCAAUUGCAGCAAAAUAAGACAAGGUAGAAUCAGAGUCUUUGGGCUUGUGGAGUUGCAGAGGGAUUGAAUCCAACCACUUCCUUUCCCAGGUAUGCCUCCUCCUUGGUCACAGUAUGCCUUGAACACACCUCUGCAUAUCUUUAUUAUUGUACCUGCCACAUCUUUUGAACGUCAGCUUCAAAAUGCCUGUCUUCCCCACAAGACCAUGAUGUCCUUGAUAUCUCCCAGCUGGACAUUGGAAAUAACUUUUGAUGGUUUAGGUCUUCACUCAUUUGACCCCAGGAAUGAGAUGGACCAAUGUCUAUGGAGUCUUAAAGAUUCUGGAAAGCAAUUCACACUUACAAGGAAGAAGCAAGAUAUUUCAGAUAACCAAAAAAGUAACAUGGAUCCAUUCUCCUCUCCGCAUGCUCUGUAUCCUAAGAGACUGUGCUUAAAGAACUGCAUCAUCUGCUCACUAGCCUUCUUGCUCUGCUGGGUUCAGCCAGUGGAAAAGGGAAGCAAGAAUUUGGGGAAAUGCUGUCUAGUUACUACCUUCCACAAAGAUUGGUGGUGA